AAAAAAAAACCAGAAAUUCUCUCACACCCUCUCCCCAUUUUCUAGAAGCCGGCCAGAGACCCGGCGAGCUGCCCCGCCGCCGCGCCGCCGUACCGGCCACCGUACACCGUACACGGUGGCCGAAAAAAUCCAAAAGAGGUGGGCAGGUGAGGACGGAUGUGACCGUGGCGGUGCAAGUCGGCGACGUCGGCAGAGGCUAGGUGCGGGGACAGAGCUAGGAACCCCUAGGUGCGGCGCACCUAGGGUUUGACAUUGUUUCUGAUUUGUUUUAAAAAUGAAACAUCAAAUUAUGAUAAAUUAAAAUAUAGGGAUCUACUCUAAAAUUUAAGCAUAUUAGAGAUAUCAAAAUUAUAAUUUAAUAUUAAAAUUAUUUGAUGAUUUAUUGUCUCUGUUUGUCGGUAAAAAAGUAAAGAUGGUGAAAGUUUUAAAAUAAAUUAUGAUUAUGUUUUUAAUGAUAAAAUCGAUUGUGGUAUAUCCCAAAUCUACGGAUAUAUAAAUAAAAUCUCAGUGGUUUGAUGGCUUUUGGUAUA